UUUUUUUUGUUUUUUUUUUUUGUCUUUUGUCUUUUGUCGUUGUUGUUGUUGUUGUUGUUGCUAUUUCUUGGGCCGCUCCCUGUGGCAUAUGGAGGUUCCCAGGCUAGGGGUUGAAUCGGAGCUGUAGCCACCGGCCUACGCCAGAGCCACAGCAACGCGGGAUCCGAGCCGCGUCUGCAACCUACACCACAGCUCACGGCAACGCCAGAUCGUUAACCCACUGAGCAAGGGCAGGGACCGAACCCACAACCUCAUGGUUCCUAGUCGGAUUUGUUAACCACUGCGCCACGACGGGAACUCCAGCAUCCAAUCUUGAUUCAAUAUUUAAUCAACUUUUUUUUUUCUUUUUUGGCUGCUCCUGUGACAUAUGGAAGUUCCCAGGCCAGGGAUCGAAUCCUAGCUGCAGCUACAGUAACUCACUGUGCUGAGCCAGGGAUUGAACCAGCACUGCUGCAGAGACACCACCAGAUCCUUAACCGAGUGCACCACAGUGGGAACUCCAAUCAAAUAUUUAAAUAGGAAAUGAUUAAUACUUUCUUAUUACAAUUUAUAUAUAUAAAUAUAUACAUAUGCUUAGCCUCCAAAUCAGCAUCUGAUAAGAGGGGGAAUACCUGAAGUCAAGUUUAAGGCAUGGACUCCCAUUAUUUCUACCACUUAUUAUGAUUGGAGGUAUUAGCAAACAUAAUUAGUAAAAAAAAAAGAAUUGGAAAGGAAAAGAUAAAAUUAUCUCUAUUUGCUGAAGACAUGAUAGAAUACCUAGAAAACGUAAAACAAAGGUAAAACUAAGAUAAACAAUAGGAGAAUUCAUCCAGUUAGUAGAAUAUAAAAACAUAUAAAAAUCAACACAAAAGAAAAGAAACCAAGAUUAAAUGCUUGAGUAUAAACUUAGAAAUUUGCAACACUUACAUGAAUGAAAGUUUAAAACUAACUCCUGAUGGACUGAGAAAUUCAAGAGUAAAUUUGACUAAGCGGAAUGAUGUCUCUCGUUCUUGGUCAAUUCAUCAUCAUAAAAAUAUUAGCUCUCUCCAAGUUAAUAUGUACGUUUAACCUGAAACCAAUAAAAGUUUGGAUUGAAAUAGGGUCUACUCAAGGUAACUGACUGAUAUCUUUUAAGUCUCUUCCUAUUUACAGCGCUUCUUAGUCUCUCACCCUUUCCCUUUUCCUCACACUAAGACCACCAUCCCCAGGUAAUCUCUCUAGCAAGACAGACCUCAUUAUGCGAUGGCUGUUUUCUGAGAACAAGGAGGAGGCAGCAAGAUCUUUAAGAUGCAGCCUUGCAAGCUGCGUGUCACUUCUGACACAUAUUAUUAAUCAUAGUCAGUCACUGGGCCAGCCCAGAUUCAAGGAAAAGGGAAAUAGACUCUUAUCUCAAUUUGAAAAACUGGCAAAGUAACAUUGUAAAAAAUAAAAAAGCAUGUGGGAUGGGAACUACUGUUACAGCCAUCUUUGCAAACACAAUCUACCAUAAAAUGCAAAUGAAAACUACAAAAAAACUUUCGCAUCCAUCAAAUUGCAAAAAUCUAAAAGUUGACAGUGGCAGGCUCGAAAGAAAUAGGCAAUCUCAUGCACUGCAGGUGGAAGUAGAGUGUGGUAAAGGCGCUAUGCAAGGGAAUCUGACAAUAAUUACCCUUUGACAGCAAUCAAUCAUAAUCCUACUUCUACCUACUUGAAUAGAAUAUGUACAUAUGCUGGUUGCGUUAACUUCACUUUUCUUUUCCUUGACCCAUAAGAGUAAGCAGUACAGAAGCUAUGAUUUUCAUUCUUUUAAAAUAACUAAAAGCAUCAUCAACUGAUAUGCUGAGCACCAUUGCUGGUCUUAUAUUCUGAUAAACAGAGGAACUCACGGUAUAUCUGAUAAGGUCUGAUUCUGCAAGUAACUUAAUAUUCUGCAUAUUUAUGUAAAGAUGAACUUUAGCUUCCAAGUUAUUCUUAAAUUAAUAUGUAAUGAAAUCAUUUGUCUGGGUAUUUCCUAUGCAUUCCCGUUAAUCUCCUAAUGACUUUAUAUUAGGCAUUGCACCUCACACUCCAAAAUUAGUAACAGACUUAUCAGAACUAUUUUCACAUAUACAUAUACUCCAUGUACACCUGAACAUAAGCAGGUUUAUUUCUAACUAUCCCUCAGAAGUCUUCUUUGUUGAGGCCUCACAAAAUCUCUUUACAAGGAGUACUCUCAAUUAUUUAUUUGAAUUUCAGGUAAUAGUUGGGAAAUCACAUUAGACUGAAGCCACUUCUAUCAAUGUUACUUUCAGAAAGCUAAAAAUAAAUAAAUAAAUAAAUAAGCCACCAGGUGAAGUAUUUAAAAACAAGACAUCUUAGUUCCCAUUGUGGCUGAAUGGGUUAAGAACCCAAAUAGUAUCCAUGAGGAUGGGGGUUUGAUCCCUGGCCUUGCUCAGUGGGUUAAGGAUCCGGUGUUACUGUGAGCUGCAGCACAGGCCACAGAUGACGCUGGGAUCUGGUGUUGCUGUGGCUGUGGCAUAUGCCUUAGCUGCAGCUCCGAUUCAACCCCAGCCUGGGAACUUACAUAUGCCACAGGUGUGGCCCUGAAAAGAAAAAUAAUAAUAAAAAAAAAGAGAUAAAGAAAUAUAACAAUGACUUAGUUAUUAUUCUUAGAGACAUGAUCUCAAAAACAAGCAUAGUAUGCAUUACAACAAGCAUUUUAAAGAUCACUUUUGGCACAACACGGUAAAUCAAUUAUACUCUAAUUUUUAAAAAGUAAAAAAAUAAAGAUCACUUUUAAGAACAAUAGAAGUGGUUAUACAAUGCAGAAAUUAAUUACCUACAGGAUGCAUGAAAACCAUUUCUAAUUUGAUAUUUAUACAAUGAAUAAUCUGAAGCAUGAAAUUUCUUUUAUCAUACCUGUGUAAAACAUUCCUAUCUUUCAAAACAAAUUAUUUUUCCUAUUAUAGUUGCUUUAUAAUGUUCUGCCAAUUUCUGCUGUACAGCAGAGACCGUCACACACACACGCACACAUUCUUUUUCUUACAUUAUCCUCCAUCAUGUUCCAUCACAAGUGAUUAUAUUUCCCUGUGCUACACACCAGGAUCUCAUUGCUUAUCUACUCCAAAUGCAAUAGUCUCCAUCUACUAACCCCAAACUCUCAGUCCAUCCCACUCCCUUCCCCUUGGCAGCCACAAGUUUGUUCUCCAAGUCCAUGAGUUUGUUUCUUUUCUGUAAAUAGGUUCAUUCGUGCCAUAUAUUGGAUUCCAGAUAUGUUAUAUCACAUGGUAUUUGUCUUUCCCUUUCUGAUUUUCUUCACUUGGUAUGAGUCUCUAGUUCCAUCCAUGUUGCUGUAAAAAAGCAAAUUACUUUCUUUCAAAACACAUUACUUUUCUUCAAAUAAAUUUACACAAGAAGCUGACAAAAUGUCAAAGAUAAAUGUAAAAAUGAGAACACAAGUAAAAAAAAGUUUAAAAACAUGCAUACAUAAAUGUCUAUUUCAUCUCUAAACUAUGAUCUGUAGAUUCAAAUCUAACAAAACUUUUUUUUUUUUUUUUUUACAAUUACCAUAGAGCAAAUUCAGGCAACUUCC
rnacentral:lncRNA from 1 species